rnacentral:rRNA from 1 species
GACGAACGCUGGCGGCGUGCUUAACACAUGCAAGUCGAACGGAAAGGCCUGUGCUUGCACGGGUACUCGAGUGGCGAACGGGUGAGUAACACGUGGGUGAUCUGCCCUUCACUUCGGGAUAAGCCUGGGAAACUGGGUCUAAUACUGGAUAGGACCAUCGUUUAGUGUCGGUGGUGGAAAGUUUUUUCGGUGGAGGAUGAGCUCGCGGCCUAUCAGCUUGUUGGUGGGGUAAUGGCCUACCAAGGCGACGACGGGUAGCCGGCCUGAGAGGGUGGACGGCCACAUUGGGACUGAGACACGGCCCAGACUCCUACGGGAGGCAGCAGUGGGGAAUCUUGCACAAUGGGCGGAAGCCUGAUGCAGCGACGCCGCGUGAGGGAUGACGGCCUUCGGGUUGUAAACCUCUUUCGCUAGGGAAGAAGCCGCUUUGUGGUGGUGACGGUACCUGGAUAAGAAGCACCGGCUAACUACGUGCCAGCAGCCGCGGUAAUACGUAGGGUGCGAGCGUUGUCCGGAAUUACUGGGCGUAAAGAGCUCGUAGGUGGUUUGUCGCGUCGUCUGUGAAAUCCCGGGGCUUAACUUCGGGCGUGCAGGCGAUACGGGCAAGCUGGAGUGCUGUAGGGGAGACUGGAAUUCCUGGUGUAGCGGUGGAAUGCGCAGAUAUUAGGAAGAACACCGAUGGCGAAGGCAGGUCUCUGGGCAGUAACUGACACUGAGGAGCGAAAGCAUGGGUAGCGAACAGG